AACGUAGGAGACAAACGUUAUCCGGAGUUACUGGGCGUAAAGGGCGUGUAGGUGGUAUCGUAAGUCUGGCGUGAAAUUUCUCGGCUUAACCGAGGCAGGUCGUCGGAUACUGCGAGGCUAGAGGACGGUAGAGGCGUGUGGAAUUCCGGGUGUAGUGGUGAAAUGCGUAGAGAUCCGGAGGAACACCAGUGGCGAAGGCGACACGCUGGGCCGUACCUGACACUGAUGCGCGACAGCAUGGGGAGCAAACGGGG
rnacentral:rRNA from 1 species